UACGUAGGGACCAAGCGUUGUUCGGAUUUACUGGGCGUAAAGGGCGCGUAGGCGGCAUAUUAAGUCAGCUGUGAAAUCUCCGAGCUUAACUCGGAACUGUCAGCUGAUACUGAUGUGCUAGGGUGCAGAAAGGGCAAUCAGAAUUCUUGGUGUAGCGGUGAAAUGCGUAGAUAUCAAGAGGAACACCUGCGGCGAAGGCGGGUUGCUGGGCCGACACUGACGCUGAGGCGCGAAAGCCAGGGGAGCGAACGGG
rnacentral:rRNA from 1 species